CUCCAGUCAGAACAGUGGCUGCUGUUGAAUGAGAGGUUUUCCACCUUGCAGCCCCGCCGUUGAGGAGAAAGGCAGAAAGACGAGAAAGGAGAGAGAAAACACUGUCAGGGACCAGGAUAAGCGUGGUGCAGAGGAAGUGCUCUAGAAAUCUUGUCAGAUGCGUGUUGAAGAGGAAGCUUAGGGCUUCGUGCUCCGGGGACUA